rnacentral:lncRNA from 1 species
AAUAAUGAGAAAGGCUCAUGAAAUUAUUUGUUAUCCAGAAAUAACCUUUGCAAGUAAUGUUGGUAAGUAUAGGAAAAGGAAAAAAUCUUUACCAUUUUCUUUCUCAUCUUCAGUAUAACUGUGGUAUUUUAAGCUUAAUAGAGAUAAACUGAACAGAUUUACAUUUAGACUUAGUUUCACAUUCUUACAGAUUAUUUUUAGGGCUUGGUGAAUCAGGAGUGUUUUUAUGUCUUAGACAAACUUUAUUUUGUAAGAUACUUCUUUAUAUAAGCAAUAACCUCAAUUUGAGUUACUGUGGAAGACAAAUUUGUGAAGGAAAUGGAACCCAGCAGAUUUCUCAGAAAUAGUAUAUGUGAGAAACGCGACUUGUAUAAUGCAGUGAUUUCUUUAAUUCGUCAUAUGUUUGGGUAAUUAGAAAUUUUUCCAGCCUUAUAGUCAUUGAACAUCUAACCAUAAAGAAAUGAGACAAAUCUAGUUAAUAGCCCUAAAAACAACCCCAUGACUCUUAGGAAAAAAGAAUCCUGGCACUCCAUAGCAAUUUUAUUUACAACACUAGUAUUCGAGAAGUUGGUGAUGCCAGCUUCUGAAAGAAUAACCUCAGUGUCCUGGAGAAAACUUGGAUUAGGAAAAGUGAAAUUAGAAAUAAAUAUCCCAAGGUCAAGAUGUAAAAUCGAAAUGUCAGUAGCUAAUGAUUAAUCAGAAAAGUGAGCCCUCCUACAGUUUUUCUCAGUUUUUAAUGGGUUUGGAUAAAGCGGCACUGGAAAUCAUUUCAAGAACAAGUAUAUAAAUUUAGUCCAAUAUAAAUAUGUUCGUGAAUAUAGCCACUCAUGGAAACUACAGAGAUACACAAUUGUAAGCAGUUAUGUAAGUAGGUACUAUUCGUAAUUAAUAUGAUAUGGACUCUGAUGAUGCCCUAUGUUUUUGAACUUGCUGUAAAGGUGAAUCCUCAGUUCUGUCUUAAACACUUUAGGAAAUGCUCAUCAGUCACCCUCCUCACCCUUAACUCACGAUUUGAUGAAUUUGGCACAUAAGUGGUUACAAAUGGAAUAGCCUAGGGACUUGUUUUGAGCAACUCCACCACCAGAAGGUAAAACUCAGGAACCAUAAUCCUUGACAUAACCUAACCUAUUUUUUUCUUCACUUUGAGCCAAAGAAAAACUCAGCUUUACUCCUUCUUUACCCUGCAUUACCAGACUUAACCAUUAAUGUUGUAUUACAUUGGAUCUUUCAUAGUUUCUUAGCAAUUGUCCCCAAAGUUUAUUUUUUUGGCUUUGCCCACAGCAUACAGAAGUUCAUGGGCCAGGGACUGAACCCACGCCACAGCUGCAGCCAGUGCCACAUCAGUGACAACACAGGAUCUUUUCCCAGCUAGGCCACCAGGGAACUGCAAUAAAAACUUAUUUUAAGUUUUAAACAUGCUAAAAUAAAGCAGUUGCUUAAAGGGUAACAUACAAAAGUAUAUCUUAGCUAUGGGCAUGGCCCCAAAAAAAAGGUUUGGCUCUGAAAGAGGUGAGAAAUAAUAGUUUACAGAGGGCAUGUGGCAUCGAAAAAAUUUUAUAUUUAAAUCUUCUCCUUCCAGAUCAAAGUCAGGUUCUACUUCAGGACAUUCUUAUCAUUUCCCAGAGGAAUUAGGACUUAAAAUUUUACUUUGGCUUGAAGUCAAGUCAGGGGAAGAUAUGGAAGAUUUCUGAAGUACUUUUGUGGUUUUUUUCUCCAUGACACUCAGUGCUUUUCAUUUGAUUUAUUUUUUCCUUCCCAGUUUUCAAUUCUUUGUAAAUCUUUCAUUUAACCAAAUUUGUACUCUUAAGAAUAGUGGUUUUUGGAGUUCCUGUCGUGGCGCAGUGGUUAACGAAUCCGACUAGGAACCAUGAGGUUGCGGGUUCGGUCCCUGCCCUUGCUCAGUGGGUUAACGAUCCGGCGUUGCCGUGAGCUGUGGUGUAGGUUGCAGACGCGGCUCGGAUCCCGCGUUGCUGUGGCUCUGGUGUAGGCCAGGAGCUACAGCUCCGAUUCAACCCCUAGCCUUGGAACCUCCAUAUGCCGAGGGAGCGGCCCAAGAAAUAGCAACAACAACAACAACAACAAAGACAAAAGACAAAAAAAAAAAAAAAGUUUAAAGAAUAGUGGUUUUUAUGACGAUUCCCAAAAACACAGCAAUGACCCCUUUCUUGAAAAAUGACUUGUUCUAAAAGAUAAUGUCUGCCCUUGGUACCUGUAUCAUUAAUACUUUCUAGCCAGAUUGACUGGGAUCCUUACAGGCACUUUCAGAGAAAAUAGUUGAUGCUCAUUUGAACCAGGAGUUUGGGCUUGAACAGGACUUGUCUGUUUCUUAUCCAGC